CAACGAUGGUCUCAUAAGGAGCUUGUAACAGAGGGGCUGCUGAAGCCGAGUGUGCCGGUUAACAAGCAGUCAAACGGCGGUUGAACACCUGAGCAGCCCCGGUCGUCUGUGGAGCCUCCGCUGUAAGCUAGCAGCUCUGAGGAGCUGGAGGACUCGUCUUUAGCUCUUCCACAUGACCGACUCCAUACAACACUUGCUGGCCCGCGGUUAGCUGUGGUGAGCGGAACACACCGGCCCGGCACGAAUCCUGCAGAGCUUUGUAAAGACUGAAGAAACAACCAGGAGCUUCCCAGUGAAAAGAUUUCUUUCAGAGCGACGGCGUCUUUACACAGCAGCUCACUACAGGUCCGGACUUCUACAGCUCCACUGAUGAACCGUUUCAUUAACAACAGAUUAAAUGUUUAAGGUGACAGAGGUUGUUUUUACUGGGAAAUCCACAGUGAAAAGUCACCUGAGCUUUUUAGCAUCUCUUAACUUUUAAUUUUAGCACAUCUGGACCGACUGUACACACAGGAAGUCAGCACGAACAAAUAUAAGUUUAAAGGUGAAAAGUUCUACAGUUAUAUUUUGCUAACAUUGGUAGCCUGUUAGCUGUGUGACUGAUAGAGCUCAGCAUGAGGUUAAUGUCAGGCAGACUGUAUGACACAGUUUGAUAAAAAAAAAGAUUAUUAUUUUGCUCAUUAAUUUGGUUUGUGAUAUAUUUUAACUAACAUAUUCACAUUUUAGUAAUCGUGCGUAGACCUUUAGUCAUGAAUAUAGCAAUUAUUGUUUAUGUUAGAAAAAUGUAAAUGUCAAAUGGCAGUUGAUGUUCUUUUCUUCUUUGUCUGCCCCUGAGCCUCAAUCUGCCCACUUAAUGUUUAAUACAUCUUUAACAAAGUAUUUAACAACACUGGCUUCACACAUGAAAUGAGCUUCUCUCUCACAUUAGUGGUGUUUCUAUUCAUCCAAAUACAAAUGCAUUCCCUUGCGUAGAACACGAGAUGUACGUCUGUACUUAUGGACAUGAAACUGUGUGGAAAUGUGGUGGACACCAACACGAAUUUUAAGGGAUAAUAAUGUUGUUUUUUACUUUAUUCCCUUAAGAUUCCUUCUGCACAGCACACAGAAUCUGUUGGUCUCGUAAUGAUCCAACUCAAUGAACAUCGUUCUCUGUAGCAAUGAGAGGAUCCUGCUCAGGAUGCCAAACGCUGCUGAGGAUUUACCCAACAAGACAUGAUUUAUCCAGAGUGACACAGGAAGUGAUGCUUCAUCUGAAUAACACGAAGCAGAGAGAAAGACUUUGUGUCAUCACUUCUCUUCAGGACUUUAAUAUCCAGACAUGAACUGUCCGAGCGGCUUCUCAGCUGCAGUGUUAAGUGUGAAGACGGGUUGUCAACACAAAGACACGAUGAAUACAGGAUAAAAAAGAAAAUGAAACCAGGUUGAAAGAGGACACGGGUCACUCACCCACAG